AACGCACAUUGCGCCUUGUGGUAUUCCACAAGGCAUGCCUGUUUGAGCGUCAUCCACCCUCAAACCCCCGGGUUUGGCAGUGAGUGCACGGACGUCUACUCGAAAUUUAUGGAAUUUUGUGUCUAGGAUUACCCAUCAUGGAAUUCCCCUCCUUAAAUUUUGACCUCAAAUCAGGUAGGAUUACCCGCUGAACUUAA
rnacentral:misc_RNA from 1 species